CAGGCCUAACACAUGCAAGUCGAGGGGCAGCGCGGUGCAGCAAUGCACUGGCGGCGACCGGCGCACGGGUGCGUAACGCGUAUGCAACCCACCCGCAACAGGGGUAUAACGGAGGGAAACUUCCACUAAUCCCCCAUAUUGCCGUCAUCCCGCAUGGGGGGGCGGCGAAAGCUUCGGCAGUUGCGGACGGGCAUGCGUGACAUUAGCUAGUUGGCGGGGCAACGGCCCACCAAGGCUGCGAUGUCUAGGGGAGCUGAGAGGCUAAUCCCCCACACUGGUACUGAGACACGGACCAGACUCCUACGGGAGGCAGCAGUGAGGAAUAUUGGUCAAUGGGCGCGAGCCUGAACCAGCCAAGUAGCGUGCAGGAUGACGGCCCUAUGGGUUGUAAACUUCUUUUGUUUGGGAAUAAAGUGGGCCACGUGUGGCCUUUUGUAUGUACCAUACGAAUAAGCAUCGGCUAAUUCUGUGCCAGCAGCCGCGGUAAUACGGAAGAUGCGAGCGUUAUCCGGAUUUAUUGGGUUUAAAGGGUGCGUAGGCGGCCCGUUAAGCCGGCGGUGAAAUUUCCGGGCUCAACCCGGUCACUGCCGUCGGAACUGGUGGGCUUGAGUGCGUUUGGGGUGGCUGGAAUGUGCGGUGUAGCGGUGAAAUGCAUAGAUAUCGCACAGAACGCCGAUCGCGGAGGCAGGUCGCCAAGCCGCAACUGACGCUGAGGCACGAAAGCGCGGGGAUCGAACAGGAUUAGAUACCCUGGUAGUCCGCGCAGUAAACGAUGGACGCUCGCCGUCCGGCCGUUAGGGUCGGGUGGCCAAGCGAAAGCGAUAAGCGUCCCACCUGGGGAGUACGCCGGCAACGGUGAAACUCAAAGGAAUUGACGGGGGCCCGCACAAGCGGAGGAACAUGUGGUUUAAUUCGAUGAUACGCGAGGAACCUUACCCGGGCUUGAAAGUUAGCGACGGACGGUGAAAGCCGUCCUCCCUUCGGGGCGCGAAACUAGGUGCUGCAUGGUUGUCGUCAGCUCGUGCCGUGAGGUGUCGGCUUAAGUGCCAUAACGAGCGCAACCCCUGCCCGUAGUUGCCAGCAGUGAGAUGGGGACUCUACGGGGACUGCCACCGCAAGGUGCGAGGAAGGCGGGGAUGACGUCAAAUCAGCACGGCCCUUACGUCCGGGGCGACACACGUGUUACAAUGGGGGGUACAGAGGGAAGCGGCAUGGCGACAUGUAGCGGAUCUCGGAAAGCCCCUCUCAGUUCGGAUCGGAGUCUGCAACCCGACUCCGUGAARMUGGAUUCGCUAGUAAUCGCGCAUCAGCCAUGGCGCSSUKWGWACGUUCCCGG
rnacentral:rRNA from 1 species